GAUGAACGCUGGCGGCGUGCUUAACACAUGCAAGUCGAGCGAAGCAGUUAAGAAGAUUCUUCGGAUGAUUCUUAACUGACUGAGCGGCGGACGGGUGAGUAACGCGUGGGUGACCUGCCCCAUACCGGGGGAUAACAGCUGGAAACGGCUGCUAAUACCGCAUAAGCGCACAGAGCUGCAUGGCUCGGUGUGAAAAACUCCGGUGGUAUGGGAUGGGCCCGCGUCUGAUUAGGCAGUUGGCGGGGUAACGGCCCACCAAACCGACGAUCAGUAGCCGGCCUGAGAGGGCGACCGGCCACAUUGGGACUGAGACACGGCCCAAACUCCUACGGGAGGCAGCAGUGGGGAAUAUUGCACAAUGGGGGAAACCCUGAUGCAGCGACGCCGCGUGAGCGAAGAAGUAUUUCGGUAUGUAAAGCUCUAUCAGCAGGGAAGAUAAUGACGGUACCUGACUAAGAAGCC
rnacentral:rRNA from 1 species